AGUGGUCGAGUAGCCGAUUUAACAGUCGACGACAUCCGAGAUUUGGAAGUUGGUUAAGAGCACGGGAAUCGUCAGAGAAGUCUAUCACACUAUCGACUGUUUUGGGUAUUUUACUAAGUCUGAAUUUAAACUUAUGGCAUGUAUAGUCUAGUUAAUAUGUUUGAUUUUUGGGUAUGUAAAUAUGAGCCAUGCAAAAAAAAUGGCUUAUUUAUUUUGUUAAGCAUGGUUUUUAUACUUUUGAUCAAGUGAUAGAUAUGUUGAUUUUGGUAUUUCAGCUAUGGCAUAUUUAUUUAUGUGAA